CGCACAUAUAAGUAUAGAUUGAGUAGGACAUAUUAAUAUUAGAUGUUUGUGUUUGGUGGCACUCUCACGUUUUAAGAAUUACUAAUAUAAUUUUCUCUUGUUGUGGUUGAUUUACCCGCUUCAAAAGCAAGAAUGGCUUGUUGAUUUUGCCCGUUCAGAGUGAUACUAAAACUUAAUUCAGAUAAAAUAUUAUAUAAUCGGUGUUUAGAAUAAAUGAAUAAUAUUGUGUUACCAGUAGUUACCCUAAUUUUGAUUUGUAAGUAACUUAAGAAUAAAAUCGAUAGUGGUUACGACUGUUGUUCACGAAAUAGCGCUCAGACUACUAGUACUAUGUCAUAUCACAGCAAACCUGAACAGCCCUGAUAGUGAUGUUACUAGUGACUUCAGGGAAAAAUCGGUUAGGAAAUGCAACCUUAUAUGCUUGCUUUAAUAAACGCACUAGUUAAAGUAGUUUCUGGUGGGAUUAGCUACUUAAACAUAUUAACAUGAAGCUUGUAAUAACUGCUGCAGAGAAAAUAAAUAAUACGAUUAAGUGCAGUAUUGGUGAAGCAUUUACUAUUCAAUUUUCCAGUUACAGUUAUUAGAAAUUUAACAUUUCAUUCCAUUCAGAUAUCAAUGUAAUACAUUAUCAUCACCACUAAAAUUCAGAUAACUUCAGUAUAUAUUCAUUUUAAGAAGUUAUGACUAAAACUAAAGCAAUGAUGUAAUAUGUCAAUGUACAUCUGCCACGUUCAGUGCCGAUGAGGCCUUUCACUAAUAUUGAAGUUCCAUGCUACUAAGAUUGAAGAUGGUAGUGAAAUGUAUGCGAAUCUGCUUUCCAACUGUGUUUCACUACUCAGAAGUUUAGAAUAAGGAACAACAUUUACAUUUUACAAUGUUCCAUGACCUAUAAGCAUACAAGUAGCACACAUUUUAAUUUCCUGUUGGUGGAGAUUUCCUUGCAACAGGCAGUGUACAGUCUGGUACAUGUAUAAACACCAGACAGAUGACAGAAGGCAAGUCUACCUACACAUAGGAAGAGGAUUGGUUAAUCUAUUUUGUUUUUUAAGAAUAAUUUAAAUUAUGCCACCCCCACCUCCAACGGCUCCUCCUCCACCUUUGUCAGAUGUUUGCCCCUCACUUGAUAAAAAAGUAAAGACAGAUCGUAAUGCACUGCUGUCAGACAUCAGACUAGGAACCAAACUGAAGAAGGCAGUGACCAAUGACCGAAGUUCUCCUCAAAUAAAUGCAUGUAAAGGAACAAAUCACAAAUCUUCUGAAAAACUCAACUCUCCAGCUGGCCUUGGUGGGCUAUUUGCCCAAGGAGUACCAAAGUUACGAGAAACUGGGACUCGGCCAGCAGCUUCAGCAGUUUCAAGAGGAAGAUCAACUGAAAACCCUAAUGACCAAAAAACAUCAUUAAACAAAUCUUUACAUAAAAGAGCUGUAAGCUGUUCUCAGUCUCUCACCCCAGUCAAGUCGCAUCAACAAACCUUAACUAAAUCUUCAACUAUUAAUAAAAACAGUAAUGCUCAUACAGCCAAUCAUGUGAUAGGACUAAAUCAAAGGUGUCCAUUCCCAAAUGGUUUACGUUCACCUCAUGAUUCUCCCCCCACCCCACCACAGAAACCAAGCAAUAUCAAUUCUAAUUACUUGACUGGUCAGAAGUAUUGUUCUCCUAUAUCCAAAAAACCUCCUACAGUAUCAGUUGGUUUAAAUAAGAGUACAAAGAGAGAAUCUUUUCCAAGACCUUCACCUCCUCCUCCUCCAAAGAACCCACAGCUCACCCUCACCAAAUCUCCACUGAUACUGAACAAACCUGUCAGUGUAGUAAAACAGCAAGAUAUAAAGGCUCAAAACAUUAAAAAUGAUCUUAAAUCAUAUUCUAAUAUUACAUCUCAAAAAGAAGUUUCAGCCACAAAAAAUCAAGCCCCAUUACUUUCACCUUCACAAAAUCAGAAUGUUACUGGGGGUCUCGGUGAACUUAAGCAUAAACCAUAUUCAAGAGGUGUUAUGCCUUCUUCUAGAAAACAAAAAACUGCUCUGUCUCCACCAUCAACUACAACUACUGUAAAAGCUACACCUUCUACUAAUCGCCCAACCCCUCCACUUCCACCCUUAAGGUCACCAUCUGUAGCACCACCCCCUCCACCUCUACACAUAAAUGUAUCACCUUCUCCUUCUUAUACAAAGAACCCUCCACCACCACCACCGAGUGUGCACCCUCCUUCUCCACCUGCUCAAAACAACUAUGAGAAGACAACCCCGUGGGACUGAGAAAAAAUUUGUACCCUGGAGGUAUGCAUUACGUGUUAACUUCUGACCAAAGCAAGCUGCCUAUACAGAUCAGAACUGAAAAUUAACCCCAAUAAAAAAUAUGGUUUUGAAUCCAAAUUUAAAAACAGAUUCCAUGGAAUUUUUGAAUUACCUUCGCCUGAUUGUUUUGAAAACACACCAAAAACCUAUUCCAGCAAAA
rnacentral:misc_RNA from 1 species